UGUGUUUGUUUUAGAUACAAUUGAGAAAAAAACUAGAAUCUGGAUAUUGGCCAAGACAAAACUGUUAUUGUUCUCUCUUAUCAUUUUUGUGGUCUCUUAUCUAAUAGGUUCUUAUAGACAAAAUUUUGUCAUUUUUAUAUUAGCCCCAGCUGAGAAUGAAAUUCAGAUUUUCUUCAAUCUGAAAGUUGUGUGUGUUUUAGAUACAAUUGAAAAAAUACUAGAAUCUGGAUUUUGAGAUGCUAAACAUUUUCUCUUCAUUUUGUUCUGCAACCAUUUUUACAGGUUGGAGCAUAUAACUGAAAACUGGAUUCAAAGAAUAGCAGCUGAAGAAAUCAAACAAAGAGAUGAACUUUCAAGUGCAAGGAUCCAUCACACAUUACUCCCACUCUCUCCACCACUGCACAUUGCAAAGGUUGCUCAAGUUGCUGCAACGGCCUUUAACAUUCCCCUUACUUUCUUCACUUUUUGUGUCAGAAACAAGCACCCACAAGAAGGUACAUUUAACUCCGGUACAAGCAGUGGACUUUUGACCAAGACAAUACUGUUUUUGUUCUCUCUUUCUAUUUUUUGGCUCUAUCCUUUUUUUUAGUUAUAAAAGUUUUCAACAUUUCACCAAAAGGUAAUGAAGUAUUUAACUACAUAAAUCAAAUCCAGUAGUAUACUAAAAGACAUUA